CCUACGGGAGGCAGCAGUGAGGAAUAUUGGUCAAUGGGCGCAAGCCUGAACCAGCCAAGUAGCGUGCAGGAAGACGGCCCUAUGGGUUGUAAACUGCUUUUAUACGAGAAUAAUUUGAUGCACGUGUGCGUUAUUGCAUGUAUCGUAUGAAUAAGGACCGGCUAAUUCCGUGCCAGCAGCCGCGGUAAUACGGAAGGUCCAGGCGUUAUCCGGAUUUAUUGGGUUUAAAGGGAGUGUAGGCGGUUUGUUAAGCGUGUUGUGAAAUUUAGGUGCUCAACAUUUAACUUGCAGCGCGAACUGUCAGACUUGAGUACACGCAACGUAUGCGGAAUUCAUGGUGUAGCGGUGAAAUGCUUAGAUAUCAUGAAGAACUCCGAUUGCGAAGGCAGCAUACGGGAGUGUAACUGACGCUUAAGCUCGAAGGUGCGGGUAUCGAACAGGAUUAGAUACCCCGGUAGUC
rnacentral:rRNA from 1 species